AAUAAACCAAUUUUUACUUUUUACUUUCAAUUUUUAACUCUUCGUCUUAUUUAAUUUUUUUUACGAUUGAUUUUUUUGUUUUUAUUAGAUGAUAAAUUAUGAAUAGUACUUUACGUGUGACUAAUUUUUUUUCUAAUUUUCUGAAAAUUUUUUAAAUAAAACGAAUAGUCAAACGUUGAACACGGAAACGGGAGAAUUCGUUUUUU
rnacentral:pre_miRNA from 1 species